rnacentral:tRNA from 1 species
GGCCCAAUGGUCUAGUGGUAUGAUUCGCCCUUCGGGUUCACAACAACCCAGAUGCACCUGCAUCUUUCAUGGGCGAGGUCUCGGGUUCGAAUCCCGAUUGGGCCC